UGGGGAAUAUUGCACAAUGGGCGCAAGCCUGAUGCAGCCAUGCCGCGUGUAUGAAGAAGGCCUUCGGGUUGUAAAGUACUUUCAGUCGGGAGGAAGGUGUCAAGGUUAAUAACCUUGGCAAUUGACGUUACCGACAGAAGAAGCACCGGCUAACUCCGUGCCAGCAGCCGCGGUAAUACGGAGGGUGCAAGCGUUAAUCGGAAUUACUGGGCGUAAAGCGCACGCAGGCGGUUGAUUGAGUCAGAUGUGAAAUCCCCGGGCUUAACCCGGGAAUUGCAUCUGAUACUGGUCAGCUAGAGUCUUGUAGAGGGGGGUAGAAUUCCAUGUGUAACGGUGAAAUGCGUAGAGAUGUGGAGGAAAACCGGUGGCGAAGGCGGCCCCCUGGACAAAGACUGACGCUCAGGUGCGAAAGCGUGGGGAGCAAACAGG
rnacentral:rRNA from 1 species